rnacentral:rRNA from 2 species
GACGAACCGAGCGAACGUUAUUCGGAAUCACUGGGCUUAAAGGGCGCGUAGGCGGGCGAUCAAGUCAGGGGUGAAAGCCCCCAGCUCAACUGGGGAAGUGCCUCUGAUACUGGUCGUCUCGAGGGGGAUAGGGGCGUGCGGAACUUCCGGUGGAGCGGUGAAAUGCGUAGAUAUCGGAAGGAACACCGGUGGCGAAAGCGGCGCGCUGGAUCCCUUCUGACGCUGAGGCGCGAAAGCCAGGGGAGCGAACGGG